AGCGAACGCUGGCGGCAGGCCUAACACAUGCAAGUCGAACGGACCCUUCGGGGUUAGUGGCGGACGGGUGAGUAACACGUGGGAACGUGCCUUUAGGUUCGGAAUAGCUCCUGGAAACGGGUGGUAAUGCCGAAUGUGCCCUUCGGGGGAAAGAUUUAUCGCCUUUAGAGCGGCCCGCGUCUGAUUAGCUAGUUGGUGAGGUAACGGCUCACCAAGGCGACGAUCAGUAGCUGGUCUGAGAGGAUGACCAGCCACACUGGGACUGAGACACGGCCCAGACUCCUACGGGAGGCAGCAGUGGGGAAUCUUGCGCAAUGGGCGAAAGCCUGACGCAGCCAUGCCGCGUGAAUGAUGAAGGUCUUAGGAUUGUAAAAUUCUUUCACCGGGGACGAUAAUGGCGGUACCCGGAGAAGAAGCCCCGGCUAACUUCGUG
rnacentral:rRNA from 1 species